rnacentral:rRNA from 1 species
AUCAUACUUUGGACGGUAAUGUAGUGGAUUACGGUGGUGAUGACGGGUAACGGAGAAUUAGGGUUUGAUUCCGGAGAGGGAGCAUGAGAAAUGGCUACCACUUCCAAGGAAGGCAGCAGGCGCGUAAAUUACCCAAUCCUAAAACAGGGAGGUAGUGACGAUAAAUAACAAUGAUUCAAUGAUAACAAAGUUGAAUUAAUUGGAAUGAGAACAAUAUAAAUCCCUUAUCGAGUAACAAUUUCAGGGCAAGUUCUGGUGCCAGCAGCCGCGGUAAUUCCAGCUGAAAAAGCGUAUACGAAUAUUGUUGCAGUUAAAACGCUCGUAGUUGGAAUAAAACAUGGUUUUCUUAUUUUUUUAUUUUAAAAUGUAAAAAAGUAUAGAAUAUCAUUUUUUUAAUUUUAUAUAUCUCCUAAAAA